GGGGAUAGAGCUUUAGGGUAAGCGUGCUGACAUUAGUUGGUAAGUGAAGUAGGUUCAAAUCCUACUAUCUCCA
rnacentral:tRNA from 1 species